rnacentral:rRNA from 1 species
CAUGAAGCUGGAAUCGCUAGUAAUCGCGGAUCAGAAUGCCGCGGUGAAUACGUUCCCGGGUCUUGUACACACCGCCCGUCACACCAUGGGAGUCGGAAAUGCCCGAAGUCUGUGACCCAACCGCGAGGAGGGAGCAGCCGAAGGCAGGUCGGAUGACUGGGGUGAAGUCGUAACAAGGUAUC